rnacentral:tRNA from 1 species
GGGGAUUUAGCUCAGUGGUAGAGUGCUUGCCUAGCAAGCGCAAGGCCAUGGGUUCAGUCCCCA